rnacentral:rRNA from 1 species
ACUCCUACGGGAGGCAGCAGUGGGGAAUAUUGCACAAUGGGCGCAAGCCUGAUGCAGCCAUGCCGCGUGUAUGAAGAAGGCCUUCGGGUUGUAAAGUACUUUCAGCGGGGAGGAAGGCGAUAAGGUUAAUAACCUUGUCGAUUGACGUUACCCGCAGAAGAAGCACCGGCUAACUCCGUGCCAGCAGCCGCGGUAAUACGGAGGGUGCAAGCGUUAAUCGGAAUUACUGGGCGUAAAGCGCACGCAGGCGGUCUGUCAAGUCGGAUGUGAAAUCCCCGGGCUCAACCUGGGAACUGCAUUCGAAACUGGCAGGCUAGAGUCUUGUAGAGGGGGGUAGAAUUCCAGGUGUAGCGGUGAAAUGCGUAGAGAUCUGGAGGAAUACCGGUGGCGAAGGCGGCCCCCUGGACAAAGACUGACGCUCAGGUGCGAAAGCGUGGGGAGCAAACAGGAUUAGAUACCCUUGUAGUCCCAUGA